GGAUUAAGAUCCUUGAGACAUUGAGGAGGAUGGAACUUUGUCAAGACAUCGAGGAGGAUGGGAUUUUGCCUAUAAAAAAUCUUUCAAUAGUGAAAAUCCAACCUUUAUGAUAGGAGAUCUCUUGAAGGAGAUUCAAUAUAGUAAUAACAAGCUAAUUAAUUGGUUAGAGAAUACAUACGAUUUAUUUAAUAUAAAAGUCAUAGACUCCA
rnacentral:lncRNA from 1 species